GCCUCCCGAAUUGUAGUCUAGAAAGGCGCCAUCGGCCGCGACCGUCGCUAAAAUCCGCUGGAACGCGGUAUCGGAGAAGGUGAGAAUCCUGUGCCGUGGCGGUCCGCGGCCGCACGAUGCGCCCUUGCAGAGUCGGGUUGCUUGGGAUUGCAGCUUGAAGUGGGUGGUAAAUUCCAUCUAAAGCUAAAUACUGGCUCAUGACCGAUAGCGAACAAGUACCGUGAGGGAAAGAUGCAAAGAACUUUGAAAAGAGAGUUAAAGAGUGCUUGAAAUCGGAGUGAGGAAACCCGUUUGCACCCGGCUUCGCGCCGUCGACUCAGCCGUCUCGAAGCGGUGCACUUUGUCGGCGCGGGUCCGGCGCGACUGCUCGCAGCUCACAACCGCCGGGUGGGCUUUCUGUGACCCCGGAGAUGCGUUGCUUGCGGUCCCGCCGGACGGAACGGGUGCAACCGACCCGUCUAGAAACACGGACCAAGGAGUCUGACACGUGUGCGAGUACCCGGGUGGCAAGCCCGCGUGCGCAAUGAAAGUGAAGGGCGUUCGGCGCCAACCGACCUUGAUCUUCUGUGAAGGGUUUGAGUGGAGCACAUCUGUCGGGACCCGAAAGAUGGUGAACUAUGCCUGAGGAGGGUGAAGCCAGAGGAAACUCUGGUGGAGGCUCGUAGCGAUACUGACGUGCAAAUCGUUCGUCGAACUUGGGUAUAGGGGCGAAAGACUAAUCGAACCAUCUAGUAGCUGGUUCCCUCCGAAGUUUCCCUCAGGAUAGCUUGAACGCCGACGGUUUUGU
rnacentral:rRNA from 1 species